rnacentral:rRNA from 1 species
GAUAAACGCUGGCGGCGCACAUAAGACAUGCAAGUCGAACGGACUUAACCGAAAGUCUACUUUUGGAGCGGUUAGUGGCGGACUGGUGAGUAACACGUAAACAACCUGCCUAUCAGAGGGGAACAACAGUUAGAAAUGACUGCUAAUACCGCAUAUGCCUAAGUACCACAUGGUACAAUAGGGAAAGAAGCAAUUCGCUGAUAGAUGGGCUUGCGUCUGAUUAGAUAGUUGGUGGGGUAACGGCCUACCAAGGCGAUGAUCAGUAGCCGGUCUGAGAGGAUGAACGGCCACAUUGGGACUGAGACACGGCCCAG